rnacentral:lncRNA from 1 species
CCUGACUUACCACUAAUUUACUAGGCUACGUAAUCUCAUGAGUAACCUCUCACAGCUACCCAGCACAUGCCACAAUCCUAUGCUCUUGCCUUCUUUUAUCUGCAAUGUGUGAAGGGACUCUUUUAAAUAAAUGAGCAAGUGUCCUAAGCUAUGUCAUCCAAAGAUUGUCCUUUCCAUUCUCAAAUCCUGUGACUGGGAUCACUCAACAGCACUGUGAUGUAUUAUUUUCAAUGAGGUGCCUUUCUUAACUGACCAAAUGCUGCCUUGUUUGGCCCCUAAAUCAAUAAAAUAUGUUAAAAUUUG